GAUCAUGGCUCAGGACGAACGCUGGCGGCGUGCUUAACACAUGCAAGUCGAACGAGAAUCUACUGAAAGAGUUUUCGGACAAUGGAAGUAGAGGAAAGUGGCGGACGGGUGAGUAACGCGUGAGGAACCUGCCUUGAAGAGGGGGACGAACAGUUGGAAACGACUGCUAAUACCGCAUGACGCAUAGAGGUCGCAUGAUCUUUAUGCCAAAGAUUUAUCGCUUCAAGAUGGCCUCGCG
rnacentral:rRNA from 1 species